GACGAACGCUGGCGGCGUGCUUAACACAUGCAAGUCGAACGGAAAGGCCCUGCUUUUGUGGGGUGCUCGAGUGGCGAACGGGUGAGUAACACGUGAGUAACCUGCCCUUGACUUUGGGAUAACUUCAGGAAACUGGGGCUAAUACCGGAUAGGAGCUCCUGCUGCAUGGUGGGGGUUGGAAAGUUUCGGCGGUUGGGGAUGGACUCGCGGCUUAUCAGCUUGUUGGUGGGGUAGUGGCUAACCAAGGCUUUGCCGGUUAGCCGGCCGGAGAGGGUGACCGACCACCUAGGGAUGGACUAAGGCCCGGAACACACUCGGGCGGGAGGGAGGGGAAUGUUGCACAAUGGGCGGAAGCCUGAUGCAGCACAGCCGCGUGCGGGAUGACGGGCUUCGGGUUGUAAACCGCUUUCGCCUGUGACGAAGCGUGAGUGACGGUAAUGGGUAAAGAAGCACCGGCUAACUACGUG
rnacentral:rRNA from 1 species